rnacentral:rRNA from 1 species
AACGCUGGCGGCGUGCCUAAUACAUGCAAGUCGUACGGAAAGGCCCUUCGGGGUACUCGAGUGGCGGACGGCUGAGUAACGCGUGGGAACGUGCCCCAAAGUGAGGGAUAACGCACCGAAAGGUGUGCUAAUACCGCAUAUGGUCUUCGGAUUAAAGCUUCGGCGCUUUGGGAGCGGCCCGCGUACGAUUAGAUAGUUGGUGAGGUAAUGGCUCACCAAGGCGACGAUCCGUAGCUGGUCUGAGAGGACGAUCAGCCACACUGGGACUGAGACACGGCCCAGACUCCUACGGGAGGCAGCAGUGGGGAAUCUUGCGCAAUGGGCGAAAGCCUGACGCAGCGACGCCGCGUGAGGGAAGAAGGCCUUCGGGUUGUAAACCUCUUUCAGUAGGGACGAAGCCACUCGGGUGAAUAGCCCAGAGGGUGACGGUACCUACAGAAGAAGCCCCGGCUAACUACGUGCCAGCCGCCGCGGUAAUAC